rnacentral:rRNA from 1 species
ACUUAAGCAUAUCAAUAAGCGGAGGAAAAGAAACCAACAGGGAUUGCCCCAGUAACGGCGAGUGAAGCGGCAACAGCUCAAAUUUGAAAUCUGGCCCCAGGCCCGAGUUGUAAUUUGCAGAGGAUGCUUUUGGCGCGGUGCCUUCCGAGUUCCCUGGAACGGGACGCCAUAGAGGGUGAGAGCCCCGUACGGUUGGACACCAAGUCUUUGUAAAGCUCCUUCGACGAGUCGAGUAGUUUGGGAAUGCUGCUCAAAAUGGGAGGUAUAUUUCUUCUAAAGCUAAAUAUUGGCCAGAGACCGAUAGCGCACAAGUAGAGUGAUCGAAAGAUGAAAAGCACUUUGAAAAGAGGGUUAAACAGCACGUGAAAUUGUUAAAAGGGAAGCGCUUAUGACCAGACUUGCGCCCGGUGAAUCACCCAGCUCUCGCGGCUGGGGCACUUUGCCGGCUCAGGCCAGCAUCAGCUCGCUGUCGGGGACAAAAGCUUCGGGAACGUAGCUCUCUUCGGGGAGUGUUAUAGCCCGUUGCACAAUACCCUUCGGCGGGCUGAGGUACGCGCUCCGCAAGGAUGCUGGCGUAAUGGUCAUCAGCGACCCGUCUUGAAACACGGACCAAGGAGUCAACCUUAUGUGCGAGUG